UACAGAGGGGGCAAGCGUUAUUCGGAAUUAUUGGGCGUAAAGGGCGCGUAGGCGGCUUGGCAAGUGGAAGGUGAAAUCCCUCGGCUCAACUGAGGAACUGCGUCCGAUACUGGCAGGCUGGAAUCCGGAAGAGGGAUGUGGAAUUCCAGGUGUAGCGGUGAAAUGCGUAGAUAUCUGGAGGAACACCGGUGGCGAAGGCGGCAUCCUGGACCGGUAUGACGCUGAGGCGCGAAAGCUAGGGGGAGCAAACGGGG
rnacentral:rRNA from 1 species